AUGAACGCUGGCGGCGUGCCUAAUACAUGCAAGUCGAGCGAACGGACGAGAAGCUUGCUUCUCUGAUGUUAGCGGCGGACGGGUGAGUAACACGUGGAUAACCUACCUAUAAGACUGGGAUAACUUCGGGAAACCGGAGCUAAUACCGGAUAAUAUUUUGAACCGCAUGGUUCAAAAGUAAAAGACGGUCUUGCUGUCACUUAUAGAUGGAUCCGCGCUGCAUUAGCUAGUUGGUAAGGUAACGGCUUACCAAGGCAACGAUGCAUAGCCGACCUGGGAGGGUGAUCGGCCACACUGGAACUGAGACACGGUCCAGACUCCUACGGGAGGCAGCAGUAGGGAAUCUUCCGCAAUGGGCGAAAGCCUGACGGAGCAACGCCGCGUGAGUGAUGAAGGUCUUCGGAUCGUAAAACUCUGUUAUUAGGGAAGAACAUAUGUGUAAGUAACUGUGCACAUCUUGACGGUACCUAAUCAGAAAGCCACGGCUAACUACGUG
rnacentral:rRNA from 1 species